rnacentral:lncRNA from 1 species
AAGGAAUAAGGAUAUGAAACAAAGAAAAUGAAUGAAUGUGGUUAAAAAAAUUAUACAAGUAUUUGAAUGAUAAAUAGGUUGAAUGCUUAAUAGAUGGCUUUAAUUUAAUAUCUUUGACUUAUGCCUUGUAUCAUAAUAUUUUACUUUUCAUUUUUGAAUGUCCCAAAAAUGUUUGUCCAUUUGGAAAAACCAUCAACCAAAAUGUUGUAAACUUACUGUUUUGUAAAGACUUUUACUUUUAAAUUGAUGUGGCAUUUUUAUUUUUUC